GCCCAUCCUGUGUCCCCUGGCAUCAGGGUUGGGGUCAGGCAGCUUUCCGGGGAAGCUUCAGGCAUUCACUGCCUUAUGCUGAGAUUGAAUUCACAGCCCAUCAAAUUUGGAAGAGAACGGUGUUAAAGUGAAUUUACCCCUCGGUGAUUUUUCUUCUAUUCACCUAGUUGUGCAGCCGUCAACCCUGUGUAAGAGGAGAACAUUUUCAAGUCCUCAGACACAAGCCCCUCUCCUCUGUCAUCCUCUCCAUGGCCCAGUUUACCACACCUUUGUCUCUGUGGAUUUGCCUUCUCUGGACUCUGUCCAGAGUGAUAGAGUCCAAUUCACAUAUAAAUGACCCACUGUAAGUGUUCAAGCUGGCCUCGUCCAGUGCAUUCACAAUAUACCACCAUCCAUCUCCAUUGGAAACCGUCACUCCCACUAAGCAGUCACUCGUCAUGGACCCUCCUUGGAGCCCCAGGGACUCACUGGCCAGCCUUCUCUCUGUGGAUUCAGCUUUUUUGAAUAUUUCAUAUAAAUAGCUUUAUAU